AUACGAAUGGAGCAAGCGUUGUUCGGAAUCACUGGGCGUAAAGCGUACGUAGGCGGAUUUUUAAGUCAGAAGUGAAAGCCCAGGGCUCAACCCUGGAACUGAUUUUGAAACUGGAAGUCUAGAGUCCCGGAGAGGUUAGGGGAAUUCCGAGUGUAGCAGUGAAAUGCGCAGAUAUUCGGAGGAACACCAGUGGCGUAGGCGCCUAACUGGACGGGAACUGACGCUGAGGUACGAAAGCGUGGGGAGCAAACGGGAUUAGAAACCCUAGUAGUCC
rnacentral:rRNA from 1 species